rnacentral:rRNA from 1 species
AUUGAACGCUGGCGGCAUGCUUUACACAUGCAAGUCGAACGGUAACAGGUUAAGCUGACGAGUGGCGAACGGGUGAGUAAUGCAUCGGAACGUGCCCGAUCGUGGGGGAUAACGCAGCGAAAGCUGCGCUAAUACCGCAUACGAUCUGAGGAUGAAAGCGGGGGACCGUAAGGCCUCGCGCGAUCGGAGCGGCCGAUGUCAGAUUAGGUAGUUGGUGGGGUAAAGGCUCACCAAGCCAACGAUCUGUAGCUGGUCUGAGAGGACGACCAGCCACACUGGGACUGAGACACGGCCCAGACGCGUACGGGAGGCAGCGGUGGGGAAUUUUGGAAAAUGGGCGAAAGCCUGAUCCAGAAAUGCCGCGUGCAGGAAGAAGGCCUUCGGGUUGUAAACUGCUUUUGCACGGAGCGAAAAGGCCCUCUCUAAUACAGUGGGCUCAUGACGGUACCGUAAGAAUAAGCACCGGCUAACUACGUGCCAGCAGCCGCCGUAA